rnacentral:ncRNA from 1 species
ACAGAUAGAGGCGCGCCCGAGAUGAUUACCGCACACACAAUGCUGCCGGAGCAGUGCGGGAAAGGCAGAGGCGCCGAAGCGGAGGACCCGGCAAGUCCUUUGGCUGGCGGUGCGGAGAAUAUCCGUAACGUUGUCGCAGAGAUGCGGAGAGCUAUCC